rnacentral:misc_RNA from 1 species
GAUGAAGAACGCAGCGAAAUGCGAUAAGUAGUGUGAAUUGCAGAAUUCAGUGAAUCAUCGAAUCUUUGAACGCACAUUGCGCCCUUUGGUAUUCCUUAGGGCAUGCCUGUUCGAGCGUCAUUUAAACCUUCAAGCUAAGCUUGGUGUUGGGUGACUGUCCGCUUCACUGCGGACUCGCCUCAAAAUUAUUGGCGGCCGGUACAUUGGCUUCGAGCGCAGCAGAAACGCGAACUCGGGCCCGUCGUAUUGGCUCCCAGAAGCUAUCUUCACAAUUUUGACCUCGGAUCAGGUAGGGAUACCCGCUGAACUUAAGCAUAUCAAUAAGCAGAGGA